UGAGGAAUAUUGGGCAAUGGAGGCAACUCUGACCCAGCCAUGCCGCGUGAGUGAAGAAGGUUUUCGGAUUGUAAAGCUCUUUCGCACGGGACGAUGAUGACGGUACCGUGAUAAGAAGCCCCGGCUAACUUCGUGCCAGCAGCCGCGGUAAUACGAAGGGGGCGAAGCGUUGUUCGGAAUUACUGGGCGUGAAAGGGAGUGUAGGCGGUUAUGUAAGAUAGCGGUGAAAUGCCGGGGCUCAACCUCGGAAUUGCCGUUAUAACUAUGUAACUAGAAUGAUAGAGAGGAUAGCGGAAUACCCAGUGUAGAGGUGAAAUUCGUAGAUAUUGGGUAGAACACCGGUGGCGAAGGCGGCUAUCUGGCUAUAAAUUGACGCUGAGGCUCGAAAGCAUGGGGAUCAAACAGGAUUAGAUACCC
rnacentral:rRNA from 1 species